AUUGAACGCUGGCGGCAGGCCUAACACAUGCAAGUCGAACGAGUGGCGGACGGGUGAGUAAUGUCUGGGAAACUGCCUGAUGGAGGGGGAUAACUACUGGAAACGGUAGCUAAUACCGCAUACCAUCAGAUGUGCCCAGAUGGGAUUAGCUAGUAGGUGGGGUAAAGGCUCACCUAGGCGACGAUCCCUAGCUGGUCUGAGAGGAUGACCAGCACACUGGGAACUGAGAAACGGCCCAGACUCCACCGGGAGGAACCAGGGGGGAAUAUUGCCCAAUGGGGGAAAGCCGGAUGCAGCAAUGCGGCGUGUAUGAAGAAGCCCUUCGGGUUGUAAAGUACUUUCAGCGGGGAGGCGUUACCCGAAGAAGAAGCACCGGCUAACUCCGUGCCAGCAGCCGCGGUAAUAC
rnacentral:rRNA from 1 species